GACGAACGCUGGCGGCGUGCUUAACACAUGCAAGUCGAACGGAAAGGCCUUUUCGGAGGUACUCGAGUGGCGAACGGGUGAGUAACACGUGGGUGAUCUGCCCUGCACUCUGGGAUAAGCCUGGGAAACUGGGUCUAAUACCGGAUAGGACCGCACUUUAGUGUGUGUGGUGGAAAGUUUUUUCGGUGUAGGAUGAGCCCGCGGCCUAUCAGCUUGUUGGUGGGGUAAUGGCCUACCAAGGCGGCGACGGGUAGCCGGACUGAGAGGUUGGUCGGCUACAUUGGGACUGAGAUACGGCCCAGACUCCUACGGGAGGCAGCAGUGGGGAAUAUUGCACAAUGGGCGCAAGCCUGAUGCAGCGACGCCGCGUGGGGGAUGACGGCCUUCGGGUUGUAAACUCCUUUCGCCAGGGACGAAGCGUUUUGUGACGGUACCUGGAGAAGAAGCACCGGCUAACUACGUG
rnacentral:rRNA from 1 species